rnacentral:rRNA from 1 species
CCUUGCCAGCCCGCUCAGAAACUCAAAGGAAUUGACGGGGCCCGCACAAGCGGUGGAGCAUGUGGUUUAAUUCGAUGAUACGCGAGGAACCUUACCUGGGCUCAAAUGUAUGUUGACGUAUUCUGAAAGGGAUACUUCUUCGGACAAUAUACAAGGUGCUGCAUGGUUGUCGUCAGCUCGUGCCGUGAGGUGUCGGGUUAAGUCCCAUAACGAGCGCAACCCCUAUCAUUAGUUGCCAUCAGGUCAAGCUGGGGACUCUAAUGAAACUGCCUACGCAAGUAGUGAGGAAGGUGGGGAUGACGUCAAAUCAGCACGGCCCUUACGUCCAGGGCUACACACGUGCUACAAUGGCCGGUACAAAGGGCAGCUACCUGGUGACAGGAUGCUAAUCUCAAAAGCCGGUCUCAGUUCGGAUCGGAGUCUGCAACCCGACUCCGUGAAGCUGGAAUCGCUAGUAACCGCAGAUCAGCUACGUUGCGGUGAAUACGUUCCCGGGCCUU